CCUACGGGGGGCUGCAGUGGGGAAUAUUGGACAAUGGGGGAAACCCUGAUCCAGCAAUGCCGCGUGUGUGAAGAAGGCCUGCGGGUUGUAAAGCACUUUCGGUUGGGAAGAAAAGUUUGGCGCCAAUACCGCCGAACCUUGACGUUACUGACAGAAGAAGAACCGGCUAACUCUGUGCCAGCAGCCGCGGUAAUACAGAGGGUGCAAGCGUGCGUCGGGCUCACUGGGCGGAACGCGCGAGUCGGGGGUGAAAUCCCCGGGCUUAACCUGGGAACGGCAUUCGAUACUACAUGGCUAGAGUAUGGUAGAGGGAAGUGGAAUUUCCGGUGUAGCGGUGAAAUGCGUAGAUAUCGGAAGGAACACCAAUGGCGAAGGCAGCUUCCUGGACUAAUACUGACACUGAGGCACGAAAGCGUGGGUAGCAAACAGGAUUAGAUACCCGUGUAGUC
rnacentral:rRNA from 1 species